rnacentral:lncRNA from 1 species
GUGAUGACCUAAAGGAAUGGUAAAGCCUUGCAGCUGUAUGUGUGGAAGCUCCCCUGGACUCAGCAGAUGAAGGGUGUCCAUUGUGUCUAUUAAAUUCUGGCUAUGGAAGUAAGGUCUUAGCUGUUUUCUUUGAAGAUUCAACCUCUGUCCUAUCACAACAAAUAUUCGUAGCCGAGGAAGAGCCAUGAGAGGCUAAAGUGAACUUCAUCCAGCAAGGAGCAGCGGCCUGAUACACCUUCAAGUUAGUUCUUCCCUUAAUUCAAUCCUGAAAAUGAAGCUAAUUGAUUCAUCGGCUUUUCAGGAGUGUGUGUUCUGUUAACCGAUGCCCCAUGGGCAGUUCCUUUAAUAUGCACCUUUCUUAUUUGAAUGAACUUGUGUACAAACGG